GCAUGAGACCGGAAUUCAGAGUUUUUCCUACAAGUAAAUUUAUUUCUAUUUCAAAUUGCAUGAUUUAAUAAUGAAGAUGGAGGGGUGAUCCUUAUGGUUAAGUUAAGUCUAAAAAUCUCAUGACAUUUCUUAGGGCGCUCUCAAGUUUGCGUGUUCCGUGCUGCAGGAAGAUUCAGCACGAUUCCCCCCCUUCCCACUCCCCCCAAAGGCCGUGGCCUGGGCACGAUUGCUCCUUCAUACAUACGUCAUCACGUCGUAAUACGAUAAUACGUCAUCACCAAGCGUCCUCGCCGCCAUAACAACGAUGGAGAACAACAACGUGAAUGCUGUCGUCGGCCCAAAUUUCAAGACCUACAAAUCGGAGGAGGCCUUUGUGGACAUAAACAACAUUUUGCGCCGAGGGGACAUCAUUGGCGUCCGCGGUAACCCCGGUGUUUCAGUUCAAGUGGUGACCGGUUUAACUGGUGACUUUCAGCCGAAUGCUUCGCUUGUUGUCGUGGCUACGCCAGAUGUUGGAAAUCGGGACCAGACACGUAGCUGUAUUUG
ensembl:lncRNA